ACAGAAAUUGAGCAUAAUGAAGCCUUAUCUGAGGCAGCUAAUGUGAGGUUGGGGCUACUACCAGUUAUUUGCAACUGUAUAGAACUUACUGAACAUUGCUCCAUCUCAUUGAUUAUUAUCGAUCAAAUAGUCAAAGGUUUUUCGACACCUGCUACUUGGUUUCCCAUCAUCCAGAAACAUCUCCCGAUGCAGCAUAUUGUUCUAAAACUUCAAGAUAAAAGCUCGUAUUCAAACAUUGACAUAAUAUUGAAGUUUCUUUUGACUAUUGCACAUGUGAAGGAAGGUGCGAGACAUGGGAAUUGAUUUGUGGGAUCUUUCGGAUUGGAAAGCAUCUAAAGCAAUUGCAGAAAUGCUGUUGCUCUCUUUGCAGAAUGUGAAUCUCAUGGUUUCACUUACAAAAUCCAAGCUUUCAGCUUUAAUAGCUUUGACAACUACUCUCUCCAUAUAUGACAAUGAUGAUGCGAGAUUUACGGUCAGUUGCAUUUCACUUUUGAUAUAGUCUCUUAGAUUUGAGUCAUUUGGCCUUUUUGAUUCUCAGUGCUAUGCAUGGUGAUGUCUAAUGACCUGAACCCUGAGCCCUGAACUGAAGUUCAUUCUGUUAGUUUAGCACAUCCUUAGUUUCUGAAACUUUGAUGAAAUGGGGCGCCAUGGUCAUUGAAGCGUUGUCAGUGUUCAGAUAAUAUAUAUCGGAAAGCAUCAUUGAUGUAUGAUUUUUUGGACAGUGUUAUGAAGACUGCUUCUGCUUUCAUUUGUAUUUCGCUACACCUAUUUUAUCCAAGCAUAAAGCAUGCAGCUGUGGUUUCAGGUGUGAUUGCUUUGAAUUGUUCAUUGCAUUCUGAGUAGCACAAAUAUGCAUCACAGUGUUGUAACUAGUGCUGGCAAAUGAGCGGGUCAGAUCGGAUAUGGGUAGGUUGAAAACGGGUUAGAUAAAUAUCUGACUUGCCCAUAUUUAAUAUGGAUAAUAAAUGGAUUGAAUGACAGAUAUAUCUACCCCAUAUUAUCCACGACUUCUUGAAUAGCUUCUAAUUUGAGAAGCACUAUUCCAUCAUUCAUAAAACAUUAAUCUGUGGAAGCAGACCCACAUCGAAGAACAAUGAACUUACAAAGACAGUUGUGGCAUUUUCCAUGAAAUCAUCUUAAUUAUCUUAUGAGCAGAGGAAAAAUCCUCUUUUAAAAAGACAUACUUAACAUACCUAGCUUUAGAAGUAGUUUUCAUUUUGAUUAAAAAAAUUACACGAUAACAUUUUUUGGGAAAACUUUUAGGUGGCACUUGUAUUCAAAAUUGUUGAAAAUGUUUUGACAAACUCUUUCUAUUUCUCUUUUUAAAAGAUUUCAACCAAACAUCAUUAAAGAAAUGGUUUUAAAUUUAUGGAGACACUGAAAAACACAUGUUGAAUUUUCUCUCUAUGAUUGACAUGGUUUCCUUGUUUAUGCAGUCACUGGAGAAUGAGGUUAAAAGUGGUGGAAAAAUUCCUGAAAAAUCAUUGUCAUCUAUGAUUGAUAAUAUAUGCCAGUCUCUCUACCGCACAAUCGAGCUAUUGCCUCCUGUUUCUGAUGCUAGUGAAGACAUAGUUGAAAUUCUCGCAGCUCAAGCAGAGUUGCUUUUCCGCUUUACCAGGUCUCUGAGUAUGCGGUUGUCUUUAUCUGCGAGCGUUCUGGUGUUAAAAACUUCAGGUUAUGGCCUCAAGGAGUUGAGUAACUGUAGGCCUUUGGUUUUUGGUGUCAUUAGUUUAGUGAAGACAUUUCUGAUGCUAAUUCUCUUUUCACUCAAAUCAACUUGGAGAGAUUCUUGUCUCGGAGUACGAACAGAAAUUGAGCAUAAUGAAGCCUUAUCUGAGGCAGCUAAUGUGAGGUUGGGGCUACUACCAGUUAUUUGCAACUGUAUAGAACUUACUGAACAUUGCUCCAUCUCAUUGAUUAUUAUCGAUCAAAUAGUCAAAGGUUUUUCGACACCUGCUACUUGGUUUCCCAUCAUCCAGAAACAUCUCCCGAUGCAGCAUAUUGUUCUAAAACUUCAAGAUAAAAGCUCGUAUUCAAACAUUGACAUAAUAUUGAAGUUUCUUUUGACUAUUGCACAUGUGAAGGAAGGUGCUGAGAUGCUU
rnacentral:lncRNA from 1 species